GCAGUCGAGCGGACAGAUGGGAGCUUGCUCCCUGAUGUUAGCGGCGGACGGGUGAGUAACACGUGGGUAACCUGCCUGUAAGACUGGGAUAACUCCGGGAAACCGGGGCUAAUACCGGAUGGUUGUUUGAACCGCAUGGUUCAGACAUAAAAGGUGGCUUCGGCUACCACUUACAGAUGGACCCGCGGCGCAUUAGCUAGUUGGUGAGGUAACGGCUCACCAAGGCGACGAUGCGUAGCCGACCUGAGAGGGUGAUCGGCCACACUGGGACUGAGACACGGCCCAGACUCCUACGGGAGGCAGCAGUAGGGAAUCUUCCGCAAUGGACGAAAGUCUGACGGAGCAACGCCGCGUGAGUGAUGAAGGUUUUCGGAUCGUAAAGCUCUGUUGUUAGGGAAGAACAAGUGCCGUUCAAAUAGGGCGGCACCUUGACGGUACCUAACCAGAAAGCCACGGCUAACUACGUGCCAGCAGCCGCGGUAAUACGUAGGUGGCAAGCGUUGUCCGGAAUUAUUGGGCGUAAAGGGCUCGCAGGCGGUUUCUUAAGUCUGAUGUGAAAGCCCCCGGCUC
rnacentral:rRNA from 1 species